rnacentral:rRNA from 1 species
GGAAUCUUCGGCAAUGGGCGAAAGCCUGACCGAGCAACGCCGCGUGAAUGAAGAAGGCGUUCGGGUUGUAAAAUUCUGUUAUAAGGGAAGAAAGGGGAUAGGAGGAAAUGAAUAUCAAUUGACGGUACCUUAUGAGAAAGCCACGGCUAACUACGUGCCAGCAGCCGCGGUAAUACGUAGGUGGCAAGCGUUAUCCGGAAUUAUUGGGCGUAAAGAGCGCGAAGGUGGUUAAUUAAGUCUGAUGUGAAAGCCCACGGCUUAACCGUGGAGGGUCAUUGGAAACUGGUUGACUUGAGUGAAGAAGAGGGAAGUGGAAUUCCAUGUGUAGCGGUGAAAUGCGUAGAGAUAUGGAGAAACACCAGUGGCGAAGGCGGCUUCCUGGUCUGCAACUGACACUGAGGCGCGAAAGCGUGGGGAGAAAACA